UUUAAUGAUCUAAUAAUUAAAUUGAUUUAUUGCAUUCAAAAUACAUGUAUUUGUUUAUUGAGUUUCGAUUGUACAGUCAGUCCAUUGUUUACGGUUUGCCAUGUAAAUCUUUACAACCAUAUAUUUAAACAUACGAAAGAAUAUGCUUUGAAGCGCCUCGUGGACUUUGUCAUAUAUAAACACGUGUUCCCGCUCAAUUUUCAUUCAAUGAUUAUUUCUCAACAGAAUUGCACAAGGAUAGGACCAGAGCGUAAAUAAGAUAAGUUGGUUAAGUUUAUCCGUUAUACUUUAGAUAUGUUUCCUUUUAUUCAUUUUAAUUCACUAUAAUAAUUUGGUUUAUAUUUAAAGAGCAAACCUUUUUUACCUGUGAGUUGACAUUCUGUGACGAUAAAGUAAAACGGGUAACUUUAAGUUUAACACGUGUUCGCAUGUGUUCGUAAAAUUAUAUGUUUCUCUUCACGUUCAUUAUUAAAUUAAUGAAUUGUUUAAUGUCACUUUAAUUAGAUUUAUAUAUAUAUAUGUGCUUAUUUAUGACCAUUCAAUUUCAUUUACUUAUGGUUGUUGCAUUUAAUUCACAGUUCUUUAACAAGGUAUUUUUAUCGAAUAGAAGAAAUGAAGUAAGCCGGAGAUUAAGACCAAAGGUAAACAACGUUGGAGUUCAACGACCUGUUCCUCGUGAAGUACCAGCACCAGAACAGGUACCCGCUCCUGAGGAAGUUGUCCGAGUGGUAAACAGAGGAAGACACAGAAAAAGAAGGCGUGCAGCGCCCGAGCUUCAACAACCAGAUCAACCUGUGGAGCCCAAUAAUCAACAUCCACCUCAGAAACAACUGAAAACUACGGCAGUUCACGCUCAACCGGGUAAUACUUUAAAUACUACUGUCCUUUGUUUAUACCAUGUUCUAAUGAAAUUGACAUAAUUAUUUCUCAGCAAAUAAUAGAGAAAAUUCGGAAUUGUAAAAAUGUUGAUUUUGGUACUCUUCUUCAACAAAAUAGUCAAUAUUAUAGUAGUUUGGACCAGAAACAAAGUGUAAUGGUUAAAAUUGGAAUGCUUGUCAUUUCUCAUUACCCUUCAAAGGACAAUACAAUAAAUAACAUUGAAUUAUGGACUGAAGCAUUUGAAUUUUUUUUUUUUUUUUUUUUUUUUUUUUUUUUUUUUUU